rnacentral:rRNA from 1 species
AUUUGAAAUCGCCGUCGCCUUCCAGUUGCACGGCGACUUGUAGUUUCGAGAGGCGCUUUCUCGGCGGCAUCGGACGCGUCCAAGUCGCUUGGAACGGCGCGUCACGGAGGGUGAGAACCCCGUCUACGGCGCGUCCGGCCGCUCACGAUGCGCUUUCCAAGAGUCGGGUUGUUUGGGAUUGCAGCCCAAAACGGGUGGUAAACUCCAUCUAAAGCUAAAUACGGGCGCGAGACCGAUAGCGAACAAGUACCGUGAGGGAAAGAUGAAAAGAACUUUGAGAAGAGAGUUAAAAAGUACGUGAAACCGUCCGAAGGGAAACGAAUGGAGUCAGCAAUGCGUCCCUGUGCUUGAGGUUCAGCCGGCGGGAGGCCGAGGCGCCGAGUGUAACUGCCGCCGCUCGCGGAUCCGCACGGACCGCGGCUCGGCGCGCUCGGAUUUUGCUCUUCCCGCCGUCGCAUUUCUCUGGGGCGCGCGUCAACGUGGGUUGGCACCGGGCUUGAAAGACUCCGGCAAGGUAGGACGCGGAGGCUGCCUCCGACCGUCCCUUCGUGGGCGGCGGCAUCGGGCCGAAAGGCGUCAGCUCCGUUUACAGGCCGGCUCCUUCUCCUCUCCGCCCCCCUUUUGGCUUGCCGAGGCGGGGGGUUGGAGGGCAUCGAGAGUACGAUGGCCCGGGGCCGACCGUGGUGGAUGCAGCGCACGCCUGGCUUGGCGAGGGCCCCGCUCCUUCGGUCGGCGUUCUUACCGCGGUGGGACUGCUCGCAGUGCCCCGCGAACAGGCGCCGGUUGUUUGGAUGGCGGGUGAGGCAAAUGUGGCCCAUACUGUGCGCUUAGGAUGCUGGCGGUGAAAUGGCUCUAUCCGACCCGUCUUGAAACACGGACCAAGGAGUCUAACAUGUGCGCGAGUCUUCGGGUGGCAGAAACCCUUAGGCGCAAUGAAAGUGAACGAUCAGGAGGCGAGAACCUCGCGUCGGCACGAAGACCGAGGCGCAUCGUCGACCGACCUGUCCUACUCUUAGGAAGGUUUGAGUAUGA